UCCCUGGUGGUCCAGUGGUUAGGACUCUGUACUUUCAUUGUCGGAGGCUCAGGUUCAAUCCCUGAUUGGGGAA